rnacentral:rRNA from 1 species
UACAGAGGUCUCAAGCGUUGUUCGGAUUCAUUGGGCGUAAAGGGUGCGUAGGCGGCGCGGUAAGUCGGGUGUGAAAUCUCGGGGCUUAACCCCGGGCCUGCAGCCGAUACGGGCAGACUAGAGUUCGGCAGAGGGAAGCGGAAUUUCCGGUGUAGCGGUGAAAUGCGUAGAUAUCGGAAGGAACAUCAGUGGCGAAAGCGGCUUCCUGGACCAGAACUGACGAUCAGGCACGAAAGCGUGGGGAGCAAACAGG